UGAUAGGAUGCAUCCUGGAAAGUUUCCCAAGUUUAAGAGAAAAGUAAGAGGCUCCAGAAUCAUUCAGCGCUGUGAAAUAAAAGAUACCUGGGUUCCCCCUCCACCAUGCGCCUCUGCAUCAUUGUUCAUCCGCUGGAAAUUCUAAAGGCUAACUCCAGUGAGUUAAUGUGAAAUGUUGCCAGCCAGAGUGGAUCCAAGAAAUGAAGUUAUUUCAUGUCUUUCAAGCUGCAAUAAGCAGACCUUGCUGCAGAUCCACUCCUCAAUACCUUGGCUCCCUAUGUUACCUACUGGACACAUCAUUUCUCCCCACUCCAGAAUAGACGAUUCCUGCACUCAGUGGAAGAAGGAAGAGGAGAGCAUAUCAGAUUCAAAACAACAAAUGUGCUACACCAACAGACAGGUACCAAGGAGCUGCAUCAGUCCAAUGUCCCUUACUCACACUGCAACACCAACCUGACCUCAGCUGCAACAGACAGCUAAACCUACAGUGACAUCUUCAGAAACAAGAAAUACUUAGAGAAGGAAUAUACAAAAGUGAUUCAUGGGUCUAAAAAUAAAAAUAAAUUAAAAAAAAAAACAACGCUACUUUGUUUCCCAAGAAAAGGAAACUUUAGUUUCUGCUUUCAAACACAAGAACCCCCCAGAUUAAAUUCACAGCUGUCUGUCAGUGUAGCAAAGGACAAUGCACC
rnacentral:lncRNA from 1 species